CUAUAAAGAAAGAAUGAAAUGUCAGACAUGUUCUUUUCAGUACCCAAACAUCCUGCACGUCAAAAAAAACAGUGGAGCAACAUCUAAAGCUACAGCCAGUGUGGCAACAUCUACUGAAAAGGAAACCGAGACUGGAACUUGUGCCUUUACUGGGGCCGGAGAAAAAUGCGCACUGCAAGUAGUUCCUGUUAAGGUAAAAUCUAAGAAGAGCGAAAGGUAUGUAGAAACAUACGCCUUUAUAGACCUCGGCAGUACAGUAACAAUUUGCACUGAAAGGCUCCAGAGACAA